UAGGGAAUAUUGGACAAUGGGGGCAACCCUGAUCCAGCCAUGCCGCGUGAGUGAAGAAGGCCCUCGGGUUGUAAAGCUCUUUUGUCCGGAAAGAAAAGCUUCGGGUUAAUACCCCGGGGUUCUGACGGUACCGGAAGAAUAAGCACCGGCUAACUUCGUGCCAGCAGCCGCGGUAAUACGAAGGGUGCAAGCGUUACUCGGAAUUACUGGGCGUAAAGCGUGCGUAGGUGGUUGUUUGAGUCUGAUGUGAAAGCCCUGGGCUCAACCUGGGAAUGGCAUUGGAAACUGGGCAGCUAGAGUGCGGUAGAGGGUAGUGGAAUUCCCGGUGUAGCAGUGAAAUGCGUAGAGAUCGGGAGGAACAUCUGUGGCGAAGGCGACUGCCUGGACCAGCACUGACACUGAGGCACGAAAGCGUGGGGAGCAAACA
rnacentral:rRNA from 1 species